UUUAAUUUCUUGACCAAUCACAGACCAGUAAUCUUUUUCACCUGUGUUGGGCACGCGUUUGUUAGCUUUUCCAAGCCACGGCAUUGUCAUUCGACUCUUGAAUCAUACGAGACAGACGACAAGCCCUGCUUAUCUAUUGGUGGCGAGACAGUUGAUGCGAGCCCGUCUCUUCUAUCGGAAUCGCACCGUAUGGAAAAAUAUCUACCGGUACUUCACGACACGUUCCGGGAGUCGUCGGGAGAAUCUUCGGGUUCAUCUUUGAGGACCUCCGUGGUGCUCAAAACAGCAGACUGACGUCUAGGUCUUUCCCAUGCAUAUGACAAGUUUCAAUUUCUGUAUAGGAACUCUGACAGCAGAAGUCGUGACUGCAGAAUCAGUGCACAGUAUUGAAGCACGGUUGGACCUGUGCUGGGGGAGGAAGGAGUACUGCGUGUGACAGGAGGGUGACACGACAGGCAGCAAAGCCUAAUUCACCAAGGAAUCCUGCACGAUAUCCCCCACAAGCAAAAUUCAUGUCUGGACGAGAGGAGCUGGAUAAGGGAGGUGCCACGCAGCAGCGUCACUGAAGGUGUUCCUCGACAUCAGUGCAUGACCAAUCCAAGGAGGCACCAGGCCCAACACGUAAGGUGUUCUUCUGAA